rnacentral:rRNA from 1 species
UACGUAGGGGGCAAGCGUUGUCCGGAAUUAUUGGGCGUAAAGCGCGCGCAGGCGGUCCUUUAAGUCUGAUGUGAAAGUCCACGGCUCAACCGUGGGAUUGCAUUGGAAACUGGGGGACUUGAGUGUAGUAGAGGAGAGUGGAAUUCCUGGUGUAGCGGUGAAAUGCGUAGAGAUCAGGAGGAACAUCAAUGGCGAAGGCAGCUCUCUGGACUGAUAACUGACGCUGAGGCGCGAAAGCGUGGGUAGCAAACAGG